rnacentral:rRNA from 1 species
GAUGAACGCUAGCGGCAGGCCUAAUACAUGCAAGUCGAACGGUAAGUUUUGUAGCAAUAUGAAACCAAGAGUGACGUACGGGUGCGUAACACGUAUGCAACCUACCCUUUACAGGAGGAUAGCUCGGGGAAACUCGAAUUAACCCUCCAUAACAUCAAGUUGUGGCAUCACAGCAUGAUUAAAACUCAGGUGGUAAAGGAUGGGCAUGCGUCUGAUUAGUUAGUUGGUGGGGUAACGGCCCACCAAGACGAUGAUCAGUAGGGGAACUGAGAGGUUGAUCCCCCAAACUGGCACUGAGAUACGGGCCAGACUCCUACGGGAGGCAGCAGUAGGGAAUAUUGGUCAAUGGAUGCAAGUCUGAACCAGCCAUGCCGCGUGCAGGAAGAAGGCCCUAUGGGUUGUAAACUGCUUUUGCCAGGGGAUAAAAAGGGAGUGCGCUCCUCAUUGAAGGUACCUGGUGAAUAAGCCACGGCUAACUACGUGCCAGCAGCCGCGGUAAGAC